CUUCGCUGAUGUCGAACUUCCCUUCACUCGCGGAACUCUCCGAACUCUCGGAACUGUCGCGGAACUCUCGCUGCUUGAAUAUCUGUGACGCCUUUCUCGAACCGACGAGAGCGGCUGUCACGAGUCGCGUCAUCCCGGGCAGACCCGACGCCCGAAACUAUCGAGAGUGGUGACGCUUAUUCACGCCACUCCACGCGGCGGCCUCUAUAAUAAGCCCGCAAUUCCCAUGCCGCUAAAAGUGAUAAUAGCCCGAGGCGGGACGACGAGCAUGGAGCAUUGAUGGGGGGGGGGGGGGUUAGCGAGGACCCUUGUAAUCUGGCCAGGCACGCGUGGCAUGCCUUACGUCAAUGGACGGCGCGUGACGUCAGUUUCUUAGCUUUUGGGAUUUAGUCACGUCAAAGUCCGAAGGUUUCACCGACGUUUCAGUCGACAGUCCAGUUGCCAUCAUCAGGCUGGCAUCCUACUUUCAUACUACUGGCAUGUACUUAGCUUUGUAGAAACUUGUGCAAGAGUAUAUAUCGAUUUAGAUUGGUUAGCAAACCUGUUAUGAUUUUCUUAUUUUGUCUUAGCAUUUUUUUUUUUUUUUUUAAAUCCGGGAAGGGAGGGUUCCGGACUCCAUGGGCAUUCCUUUUGGCCAAGUGUCCAAGUGUCAGUCAGUCAUUCACGGUACUGUUUUAAAGGUAAUAGAGAUAACUUGGAAUAUUUGUUCUUGGAACCUGUGCGGUGAGAAAGGGCAAGGAAAAAGCCAGGUGGCUGUAACAACAUUAUGGUGGGGAGCGUCUUGCGUGAGCUGUAAUUUUUGGUUGCCGGGACAGGUGCUCGCUGUGAAAGGACGGGGCUCGAUAGCUCGCCCGUUGCGUGGGCUGCCCUCCCUCUUUUGAACCCCCUCUCCCCCUUUUUUUUUUAAAUCUAUUGUUCCCUACGACUUCACGAGGAGCGCGCAGCCAAUCACAGGCCGCCGCUCCUCCUCGCUCGUGCGAACUGAAAACCCUUCUCCCUUCUCCGUCGCGUCGCUUCUCCGGCCUCUUGCAAGACUGCUGACCGGCAACAGGUCGCUUGUAUGUCUCUUCUCUCUCUCUCUCUCUCUCUCUCUCACUCUCUCCCCCCCCCCCCCAUUUUUCCGCGUACACGCGUGUGCCUCGCGAUUUACGUGGCGGAUAAAAUGCUAAUUUCGCAGGGCAGGUAACCAUUGUCGAUAUCCGACCCCCUUACCCUGACCUCUCUCUCUCUCUCUCUCUCUCUCGAUCUCUCACCCCUUCCUCCUUUACAGACCUUCUCCUCUUCAGUGAUCCGGUUCGCGUUGUUCGAGCGUGCGAGCCGACGCGAUCGUGCGAAGGGGUCAGAACGGAUGGUACCGUUGUGCAGAUGCAACCAGAGUGUCUCUCUCUCUCUGUGUGUGUGAGAGAAUGAGAUAGAAAUAAAACAAGAGUUGGGUGAUAAUUUUAGCAGGCUUUCACAGCCAUUGUCUGAAGUAGCUUGGCUUCUGGGUUGUAGCUGUGAUGUCCUCGGCGAUAAAUUCACCGACGUUUCGGUCGACAUUGCAGUCGCCGUCAUCAGGGAGCAGUUACCUGCUGAGGUGACCGAAACGUCGGUGAAUUAAUUCAUCGCCAAGGACGCGGCUACAACCCAGAAUUCAAGCUACUUAAGACUUUGGGAAAUCAUGUUCGGGCUCAUAUUGAAGCGACCAGGAAUCAUCACUGGUAUGUAGACGCUGUGGCGGUUGGAUAUAGGUUUUUUUUUCUUCUCAAAAUAUACACAGGAUAAUAUAUAUAAAGCAUGUCCGCGAACUACGGCGCAUAAAUUCGUUUUGGGGGGAAGGGGGUAGGAAACUCCAAAGCAAGCAAUUUUUUUGUUUAGGUAGGUACAUGAUAUGUCCGGAAACGAAACCCUGCAAAGUUACAAUCGUGGACAAGUAGCGUGCAAAUUUGAAUUUCCCGCGCAUUUAUUAGCCACUCCACUGGCUGAUGUGACGUCCCAAUGAUCCGCGGGAAGCUGGCUGACUAUCGCGUGGUUUAUAUUUAGCCAAGUGCGAACAGGUGACGACCUGGUUGGUCUGCGUCACCUCCGUAGUACGAAGUUCGCCAGCUUCAGGUUGUCAAUGGUUAAGACGUGUGACGGUCUUCCGACUCCUUCCAUUUUUGACGUGACAACGUCUAAUAAAUCGACGAAUUCCAGCUGCACGCAUGAAAAAGUGUCCCGUUACGCACAUUUUCCCGUUACGCUGUGUCCCGUUACGCUCAGUGUACGCUUGCGCCGCAUCUAUCUAUCUAUCUAUCUUCCACUCGAUUGUAACAAACAACGAUUUGACUUUUUCGAGGCACAUUCAACUUGAAACACUCCCAUUCGUUUCCUACUUUUCCUAUCAUCGUCCUAUCCUUAACAGAAUAACACAGAUUGGAAGAAGUUAAAUAGCAAACAUGUACAAAAGUUAUAGUUAAAAUAAUCUCUUCGUUAAAGUAAUAAACAUAUUUGAAUUAAUGAGUGCACAUAAAAGUAAAUUUAUCAAUUAAAUUGUAGAUUUCAUUUCACUCCUUCUUUGUAUCCAUACAAAGUAGUGAUAAUUCAAUAAAAAUUAUUCAAUUUUAUUCAUAAAAGUAUGCAAUCAUUUCAUCAAUGUUUUGUUAUGACUUUGUCACGUUAAACUAUCGUCCGUAAACCGACUUUACAGACAACCAAUUUUCGUUGUUGUGAAGCGCCCUUCGUGAAUGCGCGCUAAUCCCGCUGCAUUUCCUCUCGCAACCCCUGCACUCCGUAUGUGCACAUCGGACAUACCUGUGAAUGUUACACUGCAAAAUAAAGGUUUGUGAUUUUUACAAUGACAAUCCUUGGAAACUCAGAUACCACUUGUAAAACUGCAGGGCAGAGCUUUGUAAAAUUGUAAAAAGUUUCAAAGCUCUGCUUUGCAAUUAUUUUACAAGUGUCAUUGUUGGCAACUGAGUUUCCAAGGAUUAUCCUUGUAAAAGUACAAGUAUAAUUUUACAGUGUAAGUCUGUAUCGUGCCGUUUUCGGUCGUAAACUCUGCCAUCGUAGCACCAUGCUCAGUAAACCAUCAGCACUGCGCUAAGAUUAGAUUAUUAUAGAUGUUUUUCUUGUUUUAUUUUAAUAAUUUUACAGUCAAAAUAGUUUCAUGUUUGUUAAAUUUUUUUUUGGUUUGAAGCCCUUAUUUUAUGAAAAACCAUUUGCAUUUUUUUCAAAUUGUUCUCUGUAUUGACUAUUUCUGUAAAUUCAGGUCUCCCUAAUGAAAAUCUCUAGCCGACAAAACAUAACCCCAUCGAAUUCUGUCAAGUCGUUUAGACUUUAUUAUUGUUUUUAUAUUCUAACCUCUUAAACCGAAAGUAAGUGGAAUUUCUCUGGUAAAAUGUUAAAACAUCUUAUCCUAAAUUGAGUUUUUUUUCUUCCAUCUAUCAAAUAUUGUUUAUUGCAGUAGCUUUCGCAGUUUCAUAUUUAAAGUAUGGCUAACGACUCUGCAGUCAUAUUCGGUGACCUCUCUCUCUCUCUCUCACCCCCCCCCCCCUACUUCCCACCCUUUUUAGAGAUGGUGAUUUUUCAGUUUGGGGAAACUGUGUAUUCGCAGGGAUUAGAAGUUCGAACUCCCCCGUAUAAGCUGCUUCGUACAGUGAACUUGGCGUAACGCCGAACUCCAAUAACAACUAGAAACCUUUCUACAAAGUAACUUCAGUAUGCUUUUAUUACUUCAUUUUUGCAGAGAUAAAUUCAGACACUCGAAAUUGUACGUCGAGGGCGACAUUCCGUCGCCUGGUUCUCCCUCGCGAACUCCUGCGGUUGGAUGCCCUAUUACUAGAGACCGGAAAAAUUCGCGGAUUCAUUUCACGAUAUGAUAGAAUCCAAACAACUGUACCUUUAUAUUGCUUCUCUGAUUGGCUCGCAGUUUAUCUGAUGGACUUUGAGCCAAUGGAAAAUCUUCAGCCAAAAAAGUAUCGAAUCGCAAGCGUCCCAGUUGACAGGUGUCACAAGUCAGUAGCCAAUGAGCAGGUGGCAUUUGCCCGAGUGUGUAGGAAAUUGUAGGGUCUAACCUAGAGGUCAUCCAAAGCACGAAUUUUUCCAGUCUCUACCUAUUACUAGCGACACUUGUAUUUCGCGAAUACAUUUCGUGUCAAGGUAUUUCACAAAAUACUGUAGCUUUUCUCCUGUGGUUAUUGGCUGAGGUCGGUGAGAGGUGUCGUCCCGCUUUUGACGGGGCCAAUGAGAAUGUGGUCACCGUACUGCUGCACUCUCACAAUUUGCCAUGACUCUUAGAAAAAAUUACAGUGCUUUAUGAAAUACCUUGACAUGAAAUGAAAUCGCGAAAUACAGGUGUCCCUACCUACUACUAGGGGCAGGCAAUUUUCGCGAAAAGAUCUGAACACUUAUUAGAUUGCAACAACACUGUUAGAAAUUACAGUAAAUUUACGGACAUUCCAACGAAGAAACACCCGUAAAUAAACUGAACGCUCUUCGUAUUUCUGUAAAACGGAAUCUCCGUAAAAUUACGGUGGUAUUAGAGAGAGAGAGAUAGCUGUGCUAUCGCCCCCCUCUCUCAUUCACCGUUUAGUACCCUCUACGCAUGCGCGUAAUUUACUUCGGCGUACUUCGGCCUACUUCGUGAACUAUCAUUUGUUUUUUUCCCCAUGCAUUCCGUGUUACCGUGUUUUGUUGCUGUUUCUUAAUUCGCAUAUAUAUGGAAUUGUUCAAGAGAUAUUCCUAGUGAUUUUAUAUUAAUUAUUGUUGAAAUUAAGUUUACUGCUUUUAAGAUUGAUAAAAUACCUGCUACAUGUAAUGAAAAAAUAGCUUAGUCUGGAAGUUGACCGUGGUCAGCCAUGUGUGGAAGAAGAAAGCAAGCAAUUUUUCGAAGUUUUAUACAAUCGGAAGAAUUUUGUGAGUCCAUGCGCAAGGGCCAUCUCCCUAAUUCUCGGAAGUUUAUCUUGUUUGUGGACAAGAAAAUGUCCCUAGAAACAUCAGACGUAGUCCAUUAUGAAGAUUAAUCCUACUGUAUAAAAAAGCAUCAAGGAAACCCCAGAGUUGGAACUUUGAAGAAAGUGGCAGAUACAAUUACUAAAAUUGUUGAAUUGUCAAAGCUGUUGGAUGAUUUGUACAUGCAGAUUUGUGUGGUGUUUCAAGAUUAUUUUUUUUUUAAUUAUUGUGAUUAAACAAUUCUAAUAUGAAUAUUUUACAUUUAUAUUUAUUUAAAAUGUUGGCUUAUAUUAACAAUGCAUUUUGUAAAUAAAUAUUUAUAAAGGUAUAGCUCAUUUAUUUAUUUUAAUUUUUGAAAAUUUACCAGCACAUAAACAAAGGAACUAUGUGCUACGAUUAUGGUUCUUAUGUCUUACAAUGGCAUAUUCUGUACGUUAAUCAACUAGCAGUGCUGCUAAAUAUUAUGUUUUUUUGUUGUUUAAUGUUUCAAUUUUGUAACAGAAACUAUGUCUCCUAAGCAAAACUUAUUGUGGGAAUUUUUAGCAAAAAUUUUCGGGAUUUACAUAUCAUUAUAAGCUCUAUUGGUGUGUUUUUGCACUAAAAUAAUAAUAAAUACAGUAAAUGGAUAUUUAUUCAAAACUAGAUGAUUUAAGUACAAUGUAUCUAUACUUUUUAUUACUUCACAAGUUAACAUACUUUUUCAUUGUAGUAUAAACACUGGUCCUACUUCCUACAAAUAUAUAAACUUAAAAAUUUUAAGGUUCAUAUGCUUUUCAAUUGUGCUUUUUACACUUAACCAAUUUGGUUACAGUUUGAUACAUAGGUAGCCCAUAUACUGGAUUAACACAAAUGCUAUAGAGUAACUUAUCAUUAAAAGUAUCCAAAAAACCCAUACUUUGGUACUUUUUAAUACUGUAUGCCUCAAAGUGUGUUGCUUUGUAAUGAUUUUUCACUAAUAAAAAAUUCCACCCCUCAGGGAGGGGUGAUAAGUAUCAUAAAAAUACCUCACAAUUAGGCUAAAUGAAGCAUAAGGCAAGGUUGAGUAUCCUACUAAUCUUUAAAUUAUGUAAUUUUUUGAGUUUAAAAGUUUAUAACGUAAUGAAGUCUUUGCUACCUACCUGAUUUUGAUAAAAUUUAAAACAGGAUUCGUAUCUUCUAGAUUAUAGUCUAACAAAUAAUGGAGUUAAUGUAAGAAUGUGAGUAAAUAUAAUAUUUUUAACUAUGAAAUUUUAUCAUAUUUAGAUAAAGAAUGCCAUUUUUUAAUUGGGAAGAAGUCAGGGCUUAGUAUAUUCUAAAUGGCUCCUUCUGACUUCUUAUACAUUCGACAAAAUAAAGAGAUUUUAUGUAACUGGAUUUUCCACACAAAACCCUCAAUAUACACUGUACAUGAUUAAAAUUCCACCUCUAAAUUGGGUUUAUAAUAGAAAAUGGUAGAAAGUAAUUUAUUUGGUGUGAAUUGUAAAAUGGCCAUUAAGUAAAACAUGUAGAGGCUUAGAGUUAUGUUUUUGCUCCAAAAGUAAGCUAUAUAGUUAUUAUAAGCACAAAAAUUAAGAGUGCUAUGUAUUUAAUUGCAUUCUAAAAUAACAUGACUUUACUGUAAUUAUACUGGUUACAAAUUACCCAGAGAAUUUCAUAAAUUAACAUGUACUACACCAUGGAAAAUAACUUUAUCUUUGUAAAUUUUACAAGUGCUGUAAACAUAAUGGUAAAACAAUAUUUUUAUGCUACGGAGUUUCAGUAAUUUUUACAGAACUUUUGUAAAUUUGAGGAACAAUCUGUAUUUGAAUAUUACGAAGUUAUCGUAUAUUUACUGCAUUGGUUUUGAAAUUUACAAAUAAUCUUUAUUUGAAUUUCACAAGUACUUGUAUAUUUACAGUAUUAAUUGUAAAAUUUACUAAGAAUACAUUUUUUAGUAUUACGAAGUACCGGUAUAUUUACGGCAUUGGUCGUGAAAUUUACGAAGAAUCCAUAUCUGAGAAUUACAAAGUACUAGUAUAUCUACGGCAUUGGUAGUGAAAUUUACGAAGAAUCCGUAUCUGAGUUUUACGAAGUACUAAUAUAUUUACGGCAUUGGUCGUGAAAUUUACGAAGAAUCCGUAUCUGGGUUUUACGAAGUACUAGUAUAUUUACGGCAUUGGUCGUGAAAUUUACGAAGAAUCCGUAUCUGAGUUUUACGAAGUACUGGUAUAUUUACGGCAUUGGUCGUGAAAUUUACGAAGAAUCCGUAACUGAGUUUUACGAAGUACUAGUAUAUUUACGGCAUUGGUUGUGAAAUUUACGGAGAUUUAGUUUUUUUCCCUAAUGAAGUAACCGUAAAUUUACGAAGACCACCGGAGAAUUUUUUUCCGGUACUUUUCGUAAAUUUACGGUAAAAUUUUUUAACAGUGAAGGUAUACUCGCACCUGUGGUUUCUUCCUUGUGAUUAGCGGCCGUCUGCGAGAAAAGUCGUUGCCUUAUUUGGCCGAGCCGCUCAGGACGCUUUUGCUUCCGCACUUAAACACUGUGAUUGGUGUUGUAACACUCGAUAUGUACCUGGGAGCAACUCACCCAAUCACGAAACACAGACGAUACUAUAGUGUUUUAACUUUCAUCUAGUCUCGAAAUCUUUUCGCGAAAUUUGCAUGCCCCUACCUAUUACUAGAGACUGACAAAAAUUCGCGAUUUCUAUUAUCUCUAGGAUGGACUCCACAAUCCCCUACACGCUCGGGCAUAUCCACCUGCUCAUUGGCUAUUGACUCGUGACACCUGUCAACUGGGACGCUUGUGAUUCGAUACUUUUUUUGAUUGAAGGUUUUUCCAUUGGCUCAAAGUCCUUCAGAUAAACUGUAAGCCAAUCACAGAAGCAAUAUAAAGGUACAGUUGUUUGGAUUUUAGCAUAUCGUGAAAUGAAUCCGCGAAUUUUUCCGGUCUCUACCUAUUACUGGCAUUCGGCCCUCUGGGUCCGCUUCUAGCUGUGAUGGUAGUAGAGACUCGGAAAUUUCGAUCAUUCUUCUGGUGGCAAGGUAGACUGCAAACAUGUGUACUUUUGCUUUAAUGAUUGGAAAUUCGCGCUUUCGAUGACCUCUAGGAUGGACUCCACAAUCCCCUACACACUCGGGCAAAUGCCAUCUGCUCAUUGGCUAUUGACUCGUGACACUUGUCAACUGGGACGCUUGCGAUUCGAUACUUUUUCGGUUGAAUGUUUUCCAUUGGCUCAAAGUCCUUCAGAUAAACUGUGAGCCAAUCACAGAAGCAAUAUAAAGGUACAGUUGUUUGGAUUCUAGGAUAUCGUGAAAUGAAUCCGCGAAUUUUUACUGUCUCUAAUGAUUAGAUCACAAUCGUUUGGACACUCCCCUCUACGAUUAUGAGCCAGUCAAUUAUCAGCCAACAGUAGAGGGGCAUGAAUCGCACCGACCCAAUCCACAGGCAGGGAAGUUGUACAGCAAGAAGUCAGCCAAUAGGAAAGCUUAUGUGUUUCCGAGUCUCUAAUGAUAGCAAAGGACCGAAAAAAAAAAUUCGCGUUUACAUUGACCUCCAGGAUAGACUCCACAAUCCUCCGCAUACAGGAGCAACCGUCGCCUGCUCAUUGGCUGCCGACUGGCGAGUCGUCUCGACUUGGUGACCUGUGAUUCGGUCAAUAUUUAGUUGAGUGUUUCUCAUUAGCCAGGAUCAUUCACAACAUACUGUGUGCCGUCAGUGGAAGCAGCUUAAGGGUAUACAUAUUUGUAUUUGCUCUUAUCGCGAAAUGAAUAAUGCAAUUUUUUAUUGGCCCCUAAUUUUAGCUUCACUUAAUGCAGCUUCACUCACUUUAUCAAGCAACUGUUCUUAGCAGCCGUUGACUGUUCGAGCGUAGUUAUUUUUUUUAACCGUUUUCAUCAUUUUUAACUUGAAAACGAUGUCGGUUUAAAAAAAAUCUCACACAGAAACACACGAGGUAAUACGCUAAUGUAUAUAAACAUGCAUAUUUCGCGAAAGGAUUUCAAGAUAAGUUGUGUGUUAUCACACUGUAGAAUCUUCUUUGUUUCGUGAUUGGUUGAGUUUAUUUCAGGCGCGUGUCCGCUGUCGGCUCGAAUCACUGAAGUUCUGUGCGGAAGCGAAAGCGUCCUGAUUGGUCCGGACAAGUAGGACAAUGGCUUCGAAUGCAGACGGCCGCCAAUCACAAGGAAGAAACCGCUUACGCGGGUUCACGUCGUUACAUUCUAAAUGAAGGUUUAGCUCUUUUUCGCGAAAAAAAAAUUACUUGGCCCUAUGUAUAGGAAAGACUCCUGGCCGAUGAGAAACGACAUUCAACUAAAUACUUACAGGACCACAGGCUACCAAAGCUGAUACGUCUCACCCUGUCGGCAGCCAAAGAACAGGCGACGUUUGCCCGAGUGAGCAGAGAAGUGCGGAGUUUAUCCUGGAGGUCACGAAAAACGCGAAUUUUUCCUGCCCCUAACUUAUCAAACGUUCAAAUUUCCCCGCGAAAAUACGCCAUCCCCCAAUCGUUUUGUGCCAAAAUAGUUUGCAGAACAGAGUAAGUCCUCGCUCUUAUGGUUGGUUUUUUUUAUAGCACGGCGUGGUUAUCGUCUGGUGAAUCACGGCCGCUGUGUGUGUCCGUACAGCUUUGUUCUCAUCGGCCGAGUCGAGUGCGCGUCAAGGGGAAGAAAUGCUGCGGACGUGAACAAAGCGCAUCGAAGAUUAACGAACCGUCAAAACUUUCCCCGCAGUGAAUCACAAUCUCUCGAGUGCCGGACCCCUUCGUGGCGAAGCCCGCGGCUCCGCCUGACCUCUUGACCUCUUGACCUCUUUCCUCGCGCGGGGACACAGUCGGCGGUCGCCCCCCCCCUUCCCCUACACACACAGCCAGUUGUUUACCCCAACCCUCAAACGGGAAAAAAAAUUUACCCUUUGGAAACCAGUGGCCGCGAAAUAAAUUUGUAAUACUGCAAGAAAGAUAGCUAACUUUGUGCAACACAUGGCUAUGGUUAUUUUUGCAUAUACGAAAUAAGUUGUUUUUGGAGAUAAUACUGAGUAUUUCUUACGAAAAUUAACGCAUAAUUUUAUAUGUUAGUUGAUGUUUCAUUCAAGCACAAUUUUAUAAACUAUAGAAGAGAUAAUAUAAUUUUCUCUAAUCGGACUUGAUUUAGUUUCAUUAUGCUAAUGAAUGUGUGCAGUUAAUACUGGAAAGCUAUUCAGGGAACGGUUUACAAAUAACUUUAACUAUUGGAGGUACUGGUACAACAACAAAGCAUAAAUGCCCGGCUAUAAAUCCGAAUUCAGAAUUACUGCGAAUGUUAUUUUGUAGAAAUAGUGUUGUUUUCAUGUGAAUGUGCAAAUUUAUAAAUAUCUGUAAUUUUACAGGAAUAUUUGUUCCAUUUACAAAAAAAAAAUCAGUUUACGAACGCUUGGUGACUCAUUAUUCAAUAUUCACGGGAAACAGUAGGCUACUCUGUACUUGAAAACUUGUAUUCGGUGUGUGCUAAUAAUUUUAUUAUAUUUAAGUUUUGGUAAUCUUACUUAAUCCAAUAAAUGAUUUGUCAGGGCCAUGUACGUUUCGUGAAAAGAUUUCCAGACAAGCUGUAUGUUAAAAACUUUGCGGAAUCGUGUUUGUUUCGUGGUUGGCUGUAUUUAUUGCAGGUAGAUGCAUUUAUGUUAUUAGCACGCCAAUCAUAGCCAUCCAGUGCGGAAGUAAACGCAUCCUGAAUGUCCCGGUCAAACAGGGCAAUGCAAAAAAAUGCAUGCCUCUAAUGAUUGCUCUUUUUUUUUUUACUGAUUCGUGAGAUGAAU